UCGUAAAGGGUGAUGAGUGGUGUUUGGUUUGUUACGUGUGGUUGGCUGCGGCGUUUGCAACAACUUCCAUGCUUUCAGACCUCUUCAGUUGUGCGGCAAGGCUUGUAUCGCCUUGAGCGUGCUGUGGGUUUUCUGUGUUGGCUACCUAAUCAAUGGUAUCGGUUGGAUUGAUCAAAGUUUGAUUUCGUCUUCCGUCGCAUUCGCGGCGUGAGGUGAACCCUGAUGCGGUCUCUUUGAUCCACCUCGUCGAAGCACAUGCUUCGACGUUGUGGCACAUUGAGCAUUGCUUGGUSUCUUGUAUACGGAACAUAUAGUGGGCAUGGAUCUAACGAUUCUCAUUUGCCCUCAUGUUAGCGUAACGCUUCUCAAACACGACUUGCRCCACGUUUUAGCUCGUACGGACGUGGUGCUAUGUCGAAGAGGAAUGCUACCUGGUUGAUCCUGCCAGUAGUCAAUAUGCUUGUCUCAAAGAUUAAGCCAUGCU
rnacentral:misc_RNA from 1 species